rnacentral:rRNA from 1 species
AGGACCUACGGGAGGCAGCAGUGGGGAAUAUUGCACGAUGGGGGAAACCCUGAUGCAGCGACGCCGCGUGAGUGAAGAAGUAUUUCGGUAUGUAAAGCUUUAUCAGCAGGGAAGAAGAAAGACGGUACCUGACUAAGAAGCCCCGGCUAACUACGUGCCAGCAGCCGCGGGAAUACGUAGGGGGCAAGCGUUAUCCGGAUUUACUGGGUGUAAAGGGAGCGUAGACGGCUGUGCAAGUCUGAAGUGAAAGACCAGGGCUCAACCCUGGGACUGCUUUGGAAACUGUGGAGCU